rnacentral:rRNA from 1 species
AUUGAACGCUGGCGGCAUGCCUUACACAUGCAAGUCGAACGGUAACAGGUCUUCGGAUGCUGACGAGUGGCGAACGGGUGAGUAAUACAUCGGAACGUGCCCGAGAGUGGGGGAUAACGAAGCGAAAGCUUUGCUAAUACCGCAUACGAUCUCAGGAUGAAAGCAGGGGACCGCAAGGCCUUGCGCUCACGGAGCGGCCGAUGGCAGAUUAGGUAGUUGGUGGGAUAAAAGCUUACCAAGCCGACGAUCUGUAGCUGGUCUGAGAGGACGACCAGCCACACUGGGACUGAGACACGGCCCAGACUCCUACGGGAGGCAGCAGUGGGGAAUUUUGGACAAUGGGCGCAAGCCUGAUCCAGCCAUGCCGCGUGCAGGAUGAAGGCCUUCGGGUUGUAAACUGCUUUUGUACGGAACGAAAAGACUCUGGUUAAUACCUGGGGUCCAUGACGGUACCGUAAGAAUAAGCACCGGCUAACUACGUGCCAGCAGCCGCGGUAAUACGUAGGGUGCGAGCGUUAAUCGGAAUUACUGGGCGUAAAGCGUGCGCAGGCGGUUAUGUAAGACAGAUGUGAAAUCCCCGGGCUCAACCUGGGAACUGCAUUUGUGACCGCAUAGCUAGAGUACGGCAGAGGGGGAUGGAAUUCCGCGUGUAGCAGUGAAAUGCGUAGAUAUGCGGAGGAACACCGAUGGCGAAGGCAAUCCCCUGGGCCUGUACUGACGCUCAUGCACGAA